rnacentral:snoRNA from 1 species
GGAUUCCUGGUGCUUACCACAGGUUGUGUUCUGACACUGACUAUGUAGAAAGAUGAACCUAAGUGAACUUAUCCCACAUACACCUUAGGCCAGGCCCUGUGUCAGGUCUGUAUUAUGAAUGGGAAGACAUGG